GGAGAAUACAGCAACAUUCCCGGAGACUGAAGCAACUUCCUGCGCGGAGGAGCGUGAAGCUGCCAUCCGUACGGCUGAAACAAGAGCAUAACAUCACAGUAACAUGAGCAACAUACACUAUCAUUCUCAAGUUUGAGCAAUAGUGUACGUAAGGCUGGUCGUCAUACCUAUGGGACAAUGCAGUCUGUGAAGGAUUAAAUUCAUCUGCUUUGGACGUUUGGAGGGAAAUCUGCACCCCAGCGGCGGCACAAGGUCACAUUGGCUCGGCUGGCAGACGGGCUCGUCUCACCUGCAGCGCUCGUCUGAGACGCACUUCAGCCGCAGCGUUCACCCCAUCUGCACAACAACACCCACAUCAGGUCAACACACACUCAUUUAAUUAUUAG